AGGACGAACGCUGGCGGCGUGCUUAACACAUGCAAGUCGAGCGGUGAUCCUCCUUCGGGAGGUGAUCAGCGGCGAACGGGUGAGUAACACGUGGGCAACCUGCCCCUCACACUGGGAUAACCUCGGGAAACCGGGGCUAAUACCGGAUACGACCUCGAGCGGCAUCUCUUGAGGUGGAAAGCUCCGACGGUGAGGGAUGGGCCCGCGGCCUAUCAGCUUGUUGGUGGGUAAUGGCCUACCAAGGCGACGACGGGUA
rnacentral:rRNA from 1 species